ACGCCUAACACAUGCAAGUCGAACGCAGUAGCAAUACUGAGUGGCAAACGGGUGAGUAUAAUGUGGGAAUCUGCCUUUUGGUUUGGAAUAACACGGGGAAACUUGUGCUAAUACCGAAUAAGCCCUUACGGGGAAAGUUUUAAUGCCGAAAGAUGAGCCCGCACUUGAUUAGCUAGUUGGUAAGGUAAAAGCUUACCAAGGCAAUGAUCAAUAGCUGUUCUUAGAGGAAGACCAGCCACAUUGGGACUGAGACACGGCCCAGACUCCUACGGGAGGCAGCAGUGGGGAAUCUUGCACAAUGGGGGAAACCCUGAUGCAGCGAUGCCGCGUGAGUGAAGAAGGCCCUUGGGUUGUAAAACUCUUUCGUCGGGGAAGAAAAUGACUGUACCCGAAUAAGAAGGUCCGGCUAACUUCGUGCCAGCAGCCGCGGUAAUACGAAGGGACCUAGCGUAGUUCGGAAUUACUGGGCUUAAAGAGCUCGUAGGUGGUUAAAAAAGUUGAUGGUGAAAUCCCAAGGCUCAACCUUGGAACUGCCAUCAAAACUUUUUAGCUAGAGUGUGAUAGAGGUAAGUGGAAUUUCUAGUGUAGAGGUGAAAUUCGUAGAUAUUAGAAAGAACACCAAAUGCGAAGGCAACUUACUGGGUCACUACUGACACUGAGGAGCGAAAGCAUGGGUAGCGAAGAGGAUUAGAUACCCUCGUAGUCCAUGCCGUAAACGAUGUGUGCUAGACGUUGGAAAUAUAUUUUUCAGUGUCGCAGCGAAAGCAUUAAGCACACCGCCUGGGGAGUACGACCG
rnacentral:rRNA from 1 species